rnacentral:rRNA from 1 species
ACGUAGGGUGCGAGCGUUAAUCGGAAUUACUGGGCGUAAAGCGUGCGCAGGCGGUUGGAAAAGAUAGAUGUGAAAUCCCUGGGCUCAACCUAGGAAUUGCAUUUAUGACUAUCCGACUAGAGUACGGUAGAGGGGAGUGGAAUUCCGCGUGUAGCAGUGAAAUGCGUAGAUAUGCGGAGGAACACCGAUGGCGAAGGCAGCUCCCUGGACCUGUACUGACGCUCAUGCACGAAAGCGUGGGGAGCAAACAGGAUUAGAUACCCUGGUAGUCCACGCCCUAAACGAUGUCGACUAGUUGUUGGACGGGAAACUGUUCAGUAACGAAGCUAACGCGUGAAGUCGACCGCCUGGGGAGUACGGCCGCAAGGUUA